rnacentral:lncRNA from 1 species
GAAGACAUGAUCCGUGCAUGAUCACCGGACAAGGAGUAAGGCCGCUACAGAGCAGCGGUAAGCUAGGAUGUGGUGGAUUGCAGAGGACUUGCCGGUAACGACAAAAGCCAUCUCCUUGCAGUCCACAAUGCUUGUAGUGUUCCUCGCAGUCGUGCAUGCUGAUGACCCCGUGGUGUAAGCUGACUGGUAUAUGAGAUUUUCCAUGUCCUUGCCCGCCUCCUGGCCAGCUUUCUGCUUGAGUGCUUGAGCACGACUCCUCCAUAUCAACCAGCUUGUGAUAGCCAAGAUAAUGCAGCCGAAGCCCAGCAAAGCAAUGGCUACGGCCGACGCAAGCAUGACGGCUACGCAGCGCUGUCGGCAUCACACGCAACAGCUCGGAUAUGCCAGGUGAACUACUGCCUACGGAGAGGGACAGGCUGCUUGGGAAGCCUUGCAGCUCCUGUAAUGAAGGGCUUGAAGGUGCUGCUGCUGUAACUGCCAAGUAAUACCGUUCAAGAUGGUUGGAAGCGUGUACAAUGUUAAUGUCAUGCAAGUUGUAUAAGCUUAAUGCAUUGAUGCAGAGGUGCAGUCGUGUAAACCUUCUUUUCUCGAGACGCAGUCAAAGUAUAGUGGAAUAACACUGUGUGACUAUUUCCACUACUGAAGGUGCAGUGUGUGCUUGUAAACUAUUAAUCGUAUUUCAGUCGUAGAUGACCUCGUUUGGUAGUUAGGGAGCUAUCGCCAAAUUGCUUGAUUAAUGGUGCGUCAGAAACAGGCUUGCGUGCAAUAUACUAUUUCAUCAGAUCUACGCAGCCGAGCGUUCCCUACGGCCAGGAACACCGAUUGCGGAAGGAAGGUUGGGCGCGAGUCUUCUGGCGUCCCAGUAGAUUUGCGAGAAGAAAGCCGUGGAAAUCAUGUAAGGCCCCUUUUUUAUAUUUCCUCUAUGAUAAACAGGCAACAACAUACAACAUUGCAAAUCUUGGCUUAAACGGACACCAAAACUUUCCGCGUGGCCAGUUUCUCGUUUCCCGAAUAAUCAACGGUUUCCAGAUCGCUUACCUCACAUUUCCGAGGUUACAUGAAGUGUGAAGCUCACCGGUACUCUGGGUGGCUAUUACGUACAGGUUGAGUAAAAUCUGCCUAUGAAAGCUCUACGAAGUGCUACCGCCAACCCUAUACUACUGACGUUCCGGAGCACGCUACUUGGGUGGCCCUGUUUCGGGCAUUUGUUGAUCACAACUCAUGUGGUGGAUGAAUUAGGCUUUAUGGGCACUUAGGUGUCCAUAGCUUGCCUACCUGGGGAGGGGACAAGGCAGAACUGCGCCGUAUACCAGAAAGAGGAAGUAAGGAUAGCAGCAGCAACAACACGUUGGACAUAUGUUGACGGAUGCCUACAAGCAACUUGGUUCGCCGAGAAGAAUAAAGAAGGGGAACUCACCUUCUCGCCUAGGAUUUGGUUCGAAUUGCACGCUAGAUCUGUUUGUUGUCUA